AACUCCGGGAAUUGGUGGAAAAAUUGGAAUUUCCGGGCGGGAAUUCCUCAAUUUUGGGUGAAAAUUCUUCGAUUUUGGGUGGGACUUCUUCGAUUUCCGGUGGGAAUUCGGCAAUUUUGGGUGAAAAUUCAGUAAUUUCGGGUGGGAAUUCUUCGAUUUUGGGUGGGAAUUCCUCGAUUUUGGGUGGAAAGUCUGCGAUUUUGGGUGGGAAUUCCUCAAUUUUGGGUGGGAAUUCCUCAAUUUUGGGUGGGAAUUCCUCAAUUUUGAGUGGGAAUUCGAUUUCCGGCGGGAAUUCCUCGAUUUUGGGUGAAAAUUCCUCAAUUUCGAGUGGGAAUUCCCCUAUUUCAUGUGGGAAUUCCUCGAUUUUGGGUGAAAAUUCAGCAAUUUUGUGUGGGAAUUCCUCGAUUUCGGGUGGAAAUUCUGCGAUUUCCGGUGGGAAUUCCUCGAUUUCGGGUGAAAAUUCAGCAAUUUCGGGUGGAAAUUCGGCAGUUUUGUGCAGGAAUUCCCUGAUUUUGGGCGGGAAUUCCUCGAUUUCGGGUGGGAAUUCCUCAAUUUUGGGUGAAAAUUCAGCAAUUUUGGGUGGGAAUUCCUCGAUUUCCUGCGGGAAUUCCGCGAUUUUGGGUGAAAAUUCAGCAAUUUCGGGUGGAAAUUCGGCAGUUUUGUGCAGGAAUUCCUCGAUUUCGGGCGGGAAUUCCUCGAUUUUGUGUGAAAAUUUCUCGAUUUUGGGUGAAAACUCGGCAAUUUUGGGCGGGAACCCCUCGGUCCCGGCCUGCCCUCACCUGUGCCAGGUGUGUGGGCGGGGCCGGGACCCCCAAACCCCGAACCCGGAGGAGGACGAGGCACGCUCAGAACCCCCCGAAAUUCCGGCAGAUCCCGAAAAUCCCGACGGACCAGGGGAGGUGCCCCCUCAGCCGAGCCCGACCCCCGCUGGAGACCCCGGAGCUCCGGGGGAAUAAUUUGGGAAUGAGGGGAAAAGGACGGAAUUCCCAAAAUUCCCCAAAAUUCCCAGAAAACGCCCCAAAACCGCCCCCGUCUUCCCACAUAAAAUUAAAUCCCUUUGCUGACCCUCCCCCCCCGUCCUCCCGCUGCCUCCCGCGUGUGAUUCGGUGCUGAGGGGGGGAGGGGAGGGGAAGGGAUGAGGGGGGAGCCCCAAAACCGAGAGGAUUCACCCCAAAAUUUCCGCCGGGCAAAAUGGCGGCGCCCUCAACAAAGAUGGCGG
rnacentral:lncRNA from 1 species